UGGGAUAAUUUAGCUCGGCCUGGUGUGGAAGGUCAAACCACUGCUAUUUUGCAGUCUGCCUCAGUAGGUGGAAUUGAGCUUUAAUUGUCUAAUUGCUACUCUGGCAACGGCUGCCAUGGAUUCAUUUUGGAACUCAGCACAGGUGUGCUCUGAGGCUGAUGUUCUAUUUUCAAGGACGAAAAGAAGGAAUCAGGGAGCUCGUGUCUUCUGCUUCAAGAGGAUGACUUUAAACUUUCAUGGCUCUUCUAAAUUAAGUGAAGAGAUAGCAAAGAUUUUAAAAUGAGACCCAAAGGGGAAAAGACGAGGAACACUCCCCUCUCCCUGCUCCAGCUGGAGCUCUCAGUGACUUCUGCGACCUGCUGUGUCUGGGCCAGCCACCCCCACCUUUUCCAACCCUUCCCGAGAUCUGACUGCAUCUCAGUCUGUUCUCCCUGGGCCCUGCCAGAAGGGAGCACUCCUGUGUGCCUGGGACCACCCACAGACUGCAGGCUUUGUUUGGACAGGAAGGCCCAACUGAGAAGAGGGAACAUCUUGCCUGCUUCCAAGAGGGGGUGAGUCACCUUGGUUCAAGCAGUCGGCUUUCUGUAGCAGGGAUGCACAGAAAGCUUGCCAGGACUACCUUACAAGGCCAGAGUCUGCUGGCAGCCAGAAUAGAGGAGUCUGUCCCGUACUUGGCUGACCGGCGGAGCACAGCCCUGCUGAGCUUUAUACAGAUUUAUACACACAGAUUUACUGAUACAUACAGAUUCCUGGGCCCACGCCCAGAGGUGUUGAUACUAUAGCUGCUGCCCAGCACCUGCAAAUCUGUAUUGUGUAAGUGUCCUGGGUGGGAGAGAUGUACAACCAGGCCUGGACCCUAAAGGGAUACAUACCCUUCAAAGAAGGAAGGAGAGGUGGACAUACAAGACAAGACACGUCUCUCAACACUGAUAUUAUGGGAUUAUUUUCUAGAUAUUCUUUGAAAGAGGACCUGCAUCUGGGAACAUUGAGUUGGACAGAAGAAUAGAAUUUUUAAAAAGCAAAGUCUUGGGAAAUAAGCAGAGCUGGUAUCCGGUUUUUCUGAAACGGACAGACCCAAGUUCAGUUCCUCCUCUUUACUUAAGGGCUGCGGAAUCUUGGACAAACUCGAGCCUCUAUGUCCUCCAGUGACAACUCUGGAAAAGUGAGGCCAUGGAUGAUGACAAGGGCCACCACUGAGGAUCACCUGCUCUAGUCACUGCUCUAACCUUGCAGGCAUCUGCUCACGGGGAUGUUGUGCAAGAAUCAUGGGCUUGGACACUUUGCACCAGGAAAAGUGCUCGGCCCUGCAGGGGAAGCCAUGUUUGGCUUUGUCCUGCAAGAUUCGAUGGAGUCUCCUAAUUAGGAAGGCGCCUGGAGAACAUCGAGAGGUCAAAUAUUUCCUAGCUGUGCAGAAGCCUGGCUUGCUCAUGUGCUCUCCUUGUGUGUAGGUGAGUCACUUCCAAACACAGCCAGAAGCACCAGCUGCUGAGCUGACGUAUGGCUGCCAGCCUUAGGAACCAGUGCCUCCUUCUCCAAUGCACACACAAGCGGGGUCACAGCCCACGUGGGUCCGUGCACAGUCCCAGGGCAGGAAUCCUGCUCCAGGGGAGGGUAGCUUCAGCACUGCCAAGUCAGAAAGCCUAAGCUCUCCUGAGGAGCUGAUGCAUGACACCAGGUGGCCAGCCAAGGUCGUCAUCUGGAAGAACGCUGGGAAUCAGGACAUGACGCUGGCACUGGAUGCCGGUUCCCUGUCUCCUUGGUUCCAAAGCCUCAUCCCGUCACCCACAAUGUGUUCCUUUUCUCCCUCUGCUCCUCUGCCCUCCCUUCCUCCCUCCUCCCCGCUCCACCUUCUAUCUUUCCAUUGACCCUGAGAGUGUCUUUGGAUAAAGCCACACAGGCUUUCCUUCUCUGUCUUUAAUCUGUCGCUAAUUGGGAUCAGUACUUUCCAGUUACAUAAAGAGUGCCUGUGUGGCUUCAUAGCAUAUGCUGACAAAUCAUCUGGCAAACGCGUUCUUUUGUUGUAGCAAACAGCACUGUGGAGGACCGUAGUAUUGGCAACCAAAUAUGUACACUCAUAAUGAAGCCACAGAGAUAAGAAAUCCAUCUCCACGCCGGUGGAGCUCUAGGGAGCCAGUCAUAUUAAAAAUGAAAAUAGCGAUCUAUUAUAUAGGAGAGAUGGCUUCAGAAUGGUUUCCAGAUGGAUCCAGGAGGCUGAGGGAGAACUGUUCAAGGUUCACAGAGAGAGAGCGUUCAGUCACAAACAAUUCACUUUGGAGGACUCUGCCCCAGCCUUAUGUAUGUAAUUAAGAUUUCAGAGUGGUCCCAGAAGCCAGACUGGGUACCAGGCUAGAUGACAGUAAAGAAUUAAAGCCAUUGUCACUUGAGAAGAUGGAGGCUUUGCUUAUGAACUCAACAAAGACAGCUAAGCACCUACUAUGUGCCAGGCACUAUCCUAGGCUUAUGGAUUAAAUCACUGCAUAAAACAAAUGUUCGUGCACUUACAUUUAGUGUUGGGGAUGGGACUUACAUUCAGCAAGGGUAGACAAAAUAAAUUACACAACAUGUUCAAAAGUGGUAAGUUCUUUGCAUAAAAGAAAAAUGGAAUGUGUAGGGAAUUGACAGUGCCAGAGGAAGGAUAUUAAAAUUUUACAUAAAUUCCCAAAGUAGUUAAAGGUUAGGUUUGAAGGAAGUAAAGGAAUGGCUGGUGCAAAGGUCCUGAGGCCCAGCACUCAUUCAUAGAGUGAGGUCUCCAGAUCUGCGGCCACCACUGGCUGGUGCUGAUUGGACAGACAAGAGAAGUGGCGAACUCCUACACAACCGUGCGGAAGCAGGUGGGGAGCAUCCAGCAAUGCAGCAUUAUGACAAGCUGAUGGGGCCUCCUGAUUAUCUGAAAAUUCUGCUGGGACUUCUAGAGCAGGAAGACAGGGGAAAAUCCAGUAGGAAGUCUAGAAUUCCAGAAUUAAAUUCUUCCCAACAAAGCUCAGUCAGUGGUGUAUUUCUUGUGCCUACUGAGUGCUCAGGUCUCGCCUGGGAAGGCACAUGCCUGGAGGUCCCAGGGGUCCUCCUUGCCACAGGAAGUACUUUAUUUAUUUAGACCUCUCAUGAUUCUCUUCUCCUCCAUUUUUGUAUAUUGAUUGAUUGGUACUUUGUCUUGUUUCAGAGAGAAUUUAAGGCAGCUCAUGAGGAUACAUAAAAUACAAGAUGGCAUAAAUUAAAAAUAGGAACAAAAGGAAAAGAAAAAUGAGGACAGGGACAUGAAAUGGAGCCAAGAAUGAGGCUAAAUCACAUACCAAAAAGAUGUAUGGGCCACAAAUUUGGCUCUAAGUCUAUAGCAGUCGAUGUGGAAAAGGAAAAAUUAUACAAUUACACAACUCACUGUGUCCAAAAAGUAAAAUCAGUCCAAGAGCUCUGGAAAAAUUAAAACACUCAUGCAUUCUGAAUGACAUCACUCUAUCCAUGCUCCUCUCUGGGGACUCUGUUCAUGACCUGUCUGUUGGAGCAAUUCACCAAGUACCCGGGGACAGGUGAAAAGCAAACUCGUCUGCCACUCAGCUGUCACCCGCCCACUCCCUCAACCACCUCUGCUUUCUAAGGAUGAAGCUUGUGGUGGGCACUGAAUUGGGAGCUGGAGAUAGACCAGGGCGACAAGCAAGUGGUGGCUUUCCUCCUGGCUCUUGAGUUAUUUGCAAAACACACCUGAACCAACAAAUCAUCGCAUCCUGCAUCACACUAUGAAGAUCUGAAGCAAGAAGUAGUCACUGGCACCGAGUCAAGAUUCUCAGGAGCUCUUUUCUCAGGUCCUGAGACCCAGCAGCAUUCAGCCUGGCUAAACCACAGGCGGCUCAGACCAGUAGCCAGGGUAGGCUGGAUCAGAUCCUGGGUUUAUCCUAAAUGCAAUAAAGGGUUGUAGGCCAGGCAGUGGCACCCAGUGAAAGAUAGCCCUGCCUGUACCUUGGCCAGUGGACGGGAAGAGGCGGAGUAACUGGUCAGUGAAGAGGUCAGCACUGGCACAGACUGGGGGCAGGGUGGGAGGCGAGCAGAAAAGGUGGGGGCUGGUUACGAUAAACUGAAGAGGGUUUGGGAUCACUCGAUUUGACAAGUAGGCGGACAGUUUAAUAAACGGACAAAGGGAGAAAGAGUCAAGUAUAACGAGAGUUUCCAGGAUGGAGGUGGCCAUGAUAACAACAGGCACAGUGGCCCCAGUGCCAGCUCACAGAAGCCAAGGCCAUACCUGGACUGGGCCCUGUCAAAGCACCAGGUAUGGAUGUCCAUGUGCAGAUAGCUCCAUGGGGCUGGCAGUGUCUUGCCAGCUAAUUUUGAUUGUAAAUUUGCCCGGAUAGGGGCCCUCCUGGAGAGGUGACUUGGUUAUGGGAGGUUGUAGUCAUCAGUGUCCUGAAGUGUCCCUCACAGCAAGCCAUUGGAGCAUGUAUCUCUUCCCAACGGUCUUUGCUUGCACUCUGCUCCCCAGCCACCACGAAGUGAGUAGCUUUGUUCCUUCUGCCAGGGUGUUCCUGCCCUGGGGCAGCCAACUGAACCCCCUGAAACCUGAGCCAAAGCAAAGCUCACCUGGCAGCCAAUGCUGAGCAUUCUGUCCCAGUGAGGGACACGCUGAAGAGAAGAACAUGAAACAUGUGCGGUCACAAAGCCCAUGCUUGCCAAUGUUAGCUUGGGAUGGGCCAGGGCUGUGUGCGCGUCUUGAAGGUGGGGCUGCGGCAUUUGGCCCAGCUUCCCAGGGGCAGGGUAACUCGGGGUCACCAUGUCGGAGGUACCUGUGCUGGCUGUUGAGGAACUGUGAUACCCUGUGUCUCCCAUAAGAAACGAGGUUCAAAAUACACUUACAAGCUGAUAGAAUGAGAUUAAAUUAUUUCUUGUUUGUGUUUUUGUCUCUGUCAAGUUCUCAGGUUUUAAAACUGAGCAGCUCCUCAGGUUCUCCAUCCAGCAUGCCGUAAGAGGGGUGCAGGACAGAGCCAAGGCAGAAGGAGGACAAAGUGAGCUAGCCAAAUGUCGCAUCAUCCUUCUGAGACACUCAGGCCAGGGCUGGAGUUGGCAGAUCAUGCAAGGAUAAAGGGGCAAGGUUUGGAAUGCACCCCAGAUUUGCAAGUCUUAUGCCAAACCACCCCAGAUCACUGGCUGUUUUUACCAGUCCCCAAGAAAGGGCAUUACUACCUGCCCUGGCGAGGAGCCCCAGGUCGACAGUUGUGUCUGAAAGUUCCUGUGGCCCAGAGGCUGUUAUUUAAACUCAUCACCUCCUCAACUGCAGUGAAUAAUCAAGAGUUGACCUUGGUCUUCUUAGAGGCCAUCCCCCACGCUGAACAAUAACAUAAAAGUCCUUCCUGUAGUUGUUAGACGAAAGGGAUACAUAAACUUAGCCCCCCCAAAAUGAUAAAGGAGACAGUGAGUCUCAACUUUCAUUCCCAAGAGUUAUCUUCCAUGAAAAUAUAAUUGAUUUAUCACAGGAGUCUGGAGUGAAACUUGGGAUCAUAAUUAUGAUUGGAACUGUUGAAUUUUGCAAGUAGAAGGCAAAGGACAGUGACAAUGGAAAGCAUACACAAUUUAACAGGCGUUCACUGUCAGGUACCUAGGUCUCCUUAUUUCCUCUCAGCUCCAACAGGAAGGAACUAGCAUGGUUUUCUGAAGUCAGGUAAAGAAACCAAAGACAGGAGGUUCUAAGAUGCCUUGGUCACCCUGGCCCACUGUGGAGAUGACAAAUCUAAUGGAAUCCCAGCAUGACUGAAGCGCCUUGCACCCAGGGUUGGCUUCCCACCCUCCCUCCCCCAGGACAUCUGCAAAAGUGUGGAGAUAGUUUGAGUUGUUGCAAAGGGAAGAGGGUAGAGGUGGCAGUGGCAUCUGGAGACCAAAAGCAGGAAUACUGUUAAACACCUUACACUGCCCUGGACAGGCCCUCAGCAAUGACUACAUGGGGCAAAAUGUCACUCGGACUUGCUGGAGGAAGCCUGCCUUAAAAUCCUCUCCAUCCAAAGUCUGACAGCUUGAGAAAGGUAAACCCAAGGAUAUUUAUUAUUCUCAAUUUAAUAAUUCACUUGAUUACUGUCUUGAGCUUCCUGGAGAGAGUUUACUUUCCUACAACAUAAUACACCUGGUUCGUUUUGCCUGGCAUUUCGCAGAGCUAGUGAAUUUUUUUUUGAAAGUAAGCAUUCAAGAGAGGCCCCGUCCUUUGUCUGGAGGAGGAGGGGUCCCGGGUUCCUGGGGCACCUCAGCCGGUACCCAGCCGCGCCUGGCCGUCGGUGUGCGGAGGAGGAGCUGCGCAGAUCCGGAGCCGCCUGCAGAGGCCCCGUCCUUUGUCUGGAGGAGGAGGGGUCCCGGGUUCCUGGGGCACCUCGGCCCGUACCCAGCCGCGCCUGGCCGUCGGUGUGCGGAGGAGGAGCUGCGCGGAUCCGGAGCCGCCUGCAGAGGCCCCAUCCUUUGUCUGGAGGAGGAGGGGUCCCGGGUUCCUGAGGCACCUCGGCCUGAGCCCAGCCACUCAUAGCCAUCUGCGUGCAGAGGAGGAGCUGCGCGGAUCCGGAGCCGCCUGCAGAGGCCCCGUCCUUUGUCUGGAGGAGGAGGGGUCCCGGGUUCCUGGGGCACCUCAGCCGGUACCCAGCCGCGCCUGGCCGUCGGUGUGCGGAGGAGGAGCUGCGCGGAUCCGGAGCCGCCUGCAGAGGCCCCGUCCUUUGUCUGGAGGAGGAGGGGUCCCGGGUUCCUGGGGCACCUCGGCCCGUACC